rnacentral:rRNA from 1 species
UGGGGAAUAUUUCACAAUGGACGGAAGUUUGAUGCAGCGACGCCGCGUGGAGGGUGUAGGCCUUCGGGUUGUGAACUCCUUUUUCUCGCGAAAAAGGCACAGUUUUGGCUGUGUUGAUGGUAGUGGGGGAAGAAGCGCCGGCUAACUACGUGCCAGCAGCCGCGGUAAUACGUAGGGCGCGAGCGUUGUCCGGAUUUAUUGGGCGUAAAGAGCUCGUAGGUGGUUCGUCGCGUCUGUCGUGAGAGCCAGCAGCUUAACUGUUGGUCUGCGGGGGGUACGGGAGGGAGUGUGUGCGGUAGGGGUGACUGGAAUUCCUGGUGUAGAGGUGGAAUGCGCAGAUAUCAGGAGGAACCCCGAUGGCGAAGGCAGGUCACUGGGCCGUUACUGACACUGAGGAGCGAGAGCGUGGGGAGCGAACAGG